UGAUGGUGAUGAGGACAAUUUCUGAGCAUACCUUUAAAUCUCUCCCAAGCUUGGUAGAGAGUUUCUUCAUCUUUUUUCUCAAACUCAAGAUCUUACUCCUCAAUCA
rnacentral:snoRNA from 1 species